rnacentral:sRNA from 1 species
GCGCACUGUGCGCACAGUGCCUGGGCUACUGUGUCUGCCCGUGAUGCAAGUGUCCGUGACUGCUGCUCGGGCUGAAGGGAGCACAGAGCCCGCAACGCCUCAGUGACUUCUUCCUAUGGACAGAAGACCUGGCCAGGGCUGAGCCCAGGGGCCACCCCAUCUAAGAACAGCUCCGUACUUGCUACACUCCAUGAAGACACCGUCUGCCAUCUUAGUGUCACUUGUUAAACCGCUAACUUCUUUGUUUUUAAAUUUAAUUAAUUAACUUGGUUUUACUGGUUUACUUUUGAAUCAUGGUCUCAUUGUUCAGCCCUGGCUGGCCUAGAACCUAUAUGGAACAUGUUGGCCAUCGACUCACAGAGAUCCACCUCUGUUGUCUGAGUGCUAGAAUUAAAGGCGUGUGCCACCAUGA